UGAAGAAUAACAUUCCUCAACAUUUCCUCAAAAAAAAAAAAAAAAAAUCCUCAACUGUUUUUGGCACCUAAAUUAACAUCCUUAUCCCUUUUUCCCGCGCAAGGCCAGCGAUUUCUUCGGCAAAUAAUUAACCGCGAUGCUUUCUUCAACUGUUCCUGCCCUCCCUACAUUACAUAUUAACGCUCGCUCAGGAUGAGUUUUAGUGCCGAAAGCUCAUAAAACUCCCGUACGGUGGUACAACCACCCUCUUAUUUACCUACCCUUCCCACCUAACCCUUCACUUAAAGUUAUAAACCCCAUUUUUCCAUAUCUCUCUCUCCAAUUCUCCAAUGGCAGAAGCAAUUCACAACCUGGCGUUGAUCCUGAAAAACCACCCGCAACCACAAAACGACGCCGAAUUCCUUCUCGUCAAACAGACGCGCCCGCCCAAGUUCAACGACGAGGAGUACGAUUCCUACGUGGAUUCUGAUCUCUGGGACUUGCCCUCCACGCAAUUAAACCUUCUUCACGGAAAUUCUGAGUCUCCCAUCGUCGUCGAAGGCGCCCAAUCCAUCAAUUUGACCAACUUCGAUAUCCAUUCUGCUCUCACAAAGGUAUUGGAACAAGUGGGGUUUGAGGUAACUGAUGGUGGAGAGUGGAAGUUCUGGAAGUAUGUGGAGGAAGCUGAGUUUGGACCAGGGCUGCCGGUUCAUACUGUUUUCAUUAUGGGAAAAUUGCUGGCAGGGGAUCGAAAUUUACAAGAGCGGUGCAAGUGGAUGUCAGUCCAAAGCUGUCUAAGCUGGCUUCUGGAAGUGAAACCAAGCAGUGAUCGUGUGGGGCCUCUGACAGUUGUUGGUCUUGUAAAUGACUCAAUUCAACCUGCAGAUCAGAAAGUCCCAUCCAUCUUACGGCAUCAGGAGUAUCCUCCCGGUGUUAAACUUGUACCAAUUGGAAGUAAGACAGCAAAGCCUUUUCGUACAACAAACUUGAUCAUAUUUGCACCUGAAAAUGUUUCAAAUGAAAGUGAGAACAAUAGUUUUGUUGCAUGUGGGGAUGCAUUGAUAGUGGAUCCAGGAUGUAGGUCUGAAUUCCAUGAAGAGCUCCAAAAAAUAGUUGCUGCUUUGCCACGGAAGUUAGUUGUCUUUGUUACCCAUCAUCAUCGGGAUCAUGUGGAUGGCCUUUCAAUUGUCCAAAAGUGCAACCCCAAUGCUACUUUAUUAGUGCAUGAAAAUACAAUGCGGCGCAUUGGAAAAGGUGACUGGUCUCUUGGCUAUACCUCAGUUUCUGGAGCAGAAGACAUUUGCAUUGGUGGUCAGCGAUUAAGGGUCAUUUUUGCACCGGGUCAUACUGAUGGCCACAUGGCACUGCUUCAUAUGAGUUCUCACUCAUUGAUUGUCGGUGAUCAUUGUGUUGGUCAAGGAAGUGCCAUCUUGGACAUUACUUCUGGUGGAAAUAUGACUCAAUACUUCCAAACAACUUACAAAUUCAUGGAGCUUUCCCCACACACUUUGAUUCCCAUGCAUGGGAGAGUUAACCUGUGGCCAAAGCACAUGCUUUGUGGAUAUCUCAAAAACCGCAGAAGUAGAGAAACGUCCAUCUUGAAAGCUAUAGAAAAUGGAGCUGAAACUUUGUUUGACAUAGUUGCAGAAGUAUACUCUGAAUUUGAUCGUAGUGUAUGGAUUCCUGCUGCAUCAAAUGUGAGGCUUCAUGUGGAGCAUCUGGCUGAGCAAGAUAAGCUACCAAAGAGUGUGCAGGGCUUCUCUUUAGAAACUUUUAAUAGCAGUUUGGAUGCAUUUGCUGACAAGGUGGGUGAAAGAGUGUGCAGGGCUUCUCUUUAGAAACUUUUAGUUGCAGUUUGGCUGCAUUUGCUGGCAAGGUGGGUAGAUUUGAAACCAAGUGAGGAAAGCUUCUUUGGCCACUCGUUAGGCAUUUUCGAUUCAGAAGUUCCAGAAAACUUGUGGGCUGUAUUUCCUUGCCCGAUGGAUUUGGGCAUACCUCAGUAAGGGUCUCCAGUUAAAUUAUCAGAAGCUAUGGACAUCUAAAUUAUUUGUAUUUGGUGCAGUGGCUAGCUUUGCUGUUCUGUACUCAGUUAAUAAGUUCAGUGCUAAAUAAGACCCCAUAAGGGCAUAAAAUCUGGAAUUCGGUUUCAGAUGUAAUCUAAGUAUAUAUCAGUAAUUACUAAUUAGUCUAUUCAUAUUGUAUUGUAGAGGAUUUUCCAGAAGUUAGUGGAACAGGGUCUAAAUGGUUGGUUUAUACUUGAUAUGAUGCUAUGGUAAAGGUCAUUGGUGUUUACAAGUUUA